GUUCACCUCAGCAACACAUCCUAAAAUUGUAAGGACACAGAGAAGAUUAGUGUGGAGGAUGACAUGCACGUUCAUGAAGUUUUCCACAUUAAA
ensembl:snRNA U6 U6 spliceosomal RNA